rnacentral:rRNA from 1 species
GACGUGACUUCAGAGUUUGAUCCUGGCUCAGGACGAACGCUGGCGGCAUGCCUAAUACAUGCAAGUCGUGCGAACAAUCAUGGUGCUUGCACCAUUGAGCGUUAGCGGCGAACGGGUGAGUAACACGUAAGGAAUCUACCGUUAAGUGGGGGACAACAUUCGGAAACGAGUGCUAAUACCCCAUAGGAAUCUUGACCUCAUGAUCUUGAUUGGAAAGACGGCUCUGCUGUCGCUUAAUGAUGACCUUGCGGUGCAUUAGUUAGUUGGUGAGGUAACGGCUCACCAAGACAGUGAUGCAUAGCCGACCUGAGAGGGUGAUCGGCCACAUUGGGACUGAGACACGGCCCAA